rnacentral:rRNA from 1 species
UAACCUGCGGAGGGAUCAUUACUGAGUUACCGCUCUAUAACCCUUUGUGAACAUACCUAACCGUUGCUUCGGCGGGCAGGGGAAGCCUCUCGCGGGCCUCCCCUCCCGGCGCCGGCCCCACCACGGGGACGGGGCGCCCGCCGGAGGAAACCAAACUCUAUUUACACGACGUCUCUUCUGAGUGGCACAAGCAAAUAAUUAAAACUUUUAACAACGGAUCUCUUGGUUCUGGCAUCGAUGAAGAACGCAGCGAAAUGCGAUAAGUAAUGUGAAUUGCAGAAUUCAGUGAAUCAUCGAAUCUUUGAACGCACAUUGCGCUCGCCAGCAUUCUGGCGAGCAUGCCUGUUCGAGCGUCAUUUCAACCCUCAAGCACCGCUUGGUUUUGGGGCCCCACGGCACACGUGGGCCCUUAAAGGUAGUGGCGGACCCUCCCGGAGCCUCCUUUGCGUAGUAACUAACGUCUCGCACUGGGAUUCGGAGGGACUCUUGCCGUAAAACCCCCCAAUUUUUUACAGGUUGACCUCGGAUCAGGUAGGAAUACCCGCUGAACUUAAGCAUAUCAAU